UGGGGAAUUUUGGACAAUGGGCGCAAGCCUGAUCCAGCCAUGCCGCGUGGAUGAUGAAGGCCCUAGGGUUGUAAAAUCCUUUCGUCAGGGACGAUAAUGACGGUACCUGAAGAAGAAGCCCCGGCUAACUUCGUGCCAGCAGCCGCGGUAAUACGAAGGGGGCUAGCGUUGUUCGGAAUUACUGGGCGUAAAGCGCAUGUAGGCGGGUCGUUAAGUCGGGGGUGAAAGCCCAGAGCUCAACUCUGGAACUGCCUUCGAUACUGGCGACCUGGACCCAAGGAGAGGCGAGUGGAAUUGCGAGUGUAGAGGUGAAAUUCGUAGAUAUUCGCAGGAACACCAGUGGCGAAGGCGACUCGCUGGACUUGUGGUGACGCUGAGAUGCGAAAGCGUGGGGAGCAAACAGGAUUAGAUACCCCGGUAGUCCCUGAGCGGGCUGGCAAGGCGCAU
rnacentral:rRNA from 1 species